UACAGAGGGUGCGAGCGUUAAUCGGAAUUACUGGGCGUAAAGCGCACGUAGGCGGCUUGGUAUGUCGGGUGUGAAAUCCCCGGGCUCAACCUGGGAACUGCAUCCGAAACUGCCUUGCUAGAGUAUGGGAGAGGGAAGUGGAAUUUCCGGUGUAGCGGUGAAAUGCGUAGAUAUCGAGAGGAACACCUGAGGUGAAGACGGGUUGCUGGGCUGACACUGACGCUGAUGCGCGAAAGCCAGGGUAGCAAACGGG
rnacentral:rRNA from 1 species